rnacentral:rRNA from 1 species
UAAGCAUAUCAAUAAGCGGAGGAAAAGAAACCAACAGGGAUUGCCCUAGUAACGGCGAGUGAAGCGGCAACAGCUCAAAUUUGAAAUCUGGCGCAAGCCCGAGUUGUAAUUUGUAGAGGAUGUUUCUGGCGAAGUGCCUUCCGAGUUCCCUGGAACGGGACGCCAUAGAGGGUGAGAGCCCCGUACGGUUGGAUGCCUAGCCUCUGUGAAACUCCUUCGACGAGUCGAGUAGUUUGGGAAUGCUGCUCUAAAUGGGAGGUAUACGUCUUCUAAAGCUAAAUACCGGCCAGAGACCGAUAGCGCACAAGUAGAGUGAUCGAAAGAUGAAAAGCACUUUGAAAAGAGGGUUAAAAAGUACGUGAAAUUGUUGAAAGGGAAGCGUUCAUGACCAGACUUGGGCAGGUUGAUCAUCCGUGGUUCUCCGCGGUGCACUCUGCCUGCCCAGGCCAGCAUCAGUUCGCCCCGGGGGAUAAAGGUUUCGGGAAUGUGGCUCCUCCGGGAGUGUUAUAGCCCGUUGCGUAAUACCCUGGGGUGGACUGAGGUUCGCGCUCCGCAAGGAUGCUGGCGUAAUGGUCAUCAACGACCCGUCUUGAAACACGGACCAAGGAGUCGUCUUCGUAUGCGAGUGUUCGGGUGUCAAACCCCUACGCGUAAUGAAAGUGAACGUAGGAGAGAGCUUCGGCGCAUCUCCGACCGAUCCUGAUGUUCUCGGAUGGAUUUGAGUAAGAGCAUACGGGGCCGGACCCGAAAGAAGGUGAACUAUGCCUGUAUAGGGUGAAGCCAGAGGAAACUCUGGUGGAGGCUCGCAGCGGUUCUGACGUGCAAAUCGAUCGUCAAAUAUGGGCAUGGGGGCGAAAGACUAAUCGAACCUUCUAGUAGCUGGUUUCCGCCGAGU